GUCUACAGCCAUGCUACCCUGAACAAGCCCAAUCCCAUCUGAUCUCAGAAGCUAAGCAGAGUCGGGCCUGGUUAGUACUUGGAUGGGAAGACCAGGUGCGGUAGGAG
rnacentral:rRNA from 1 species